ensembl:snoRNA
GGGGUUUGGAUUUAUGGCAGGCCUGUCCCCCUGACCCUCUCCUAGUGUCUUAUGCCAGAGCAAACCAUGGCCCUGAAUCAUUGCCUGGUCUCUGUGCCUAUAGGCUGCUGGCACUGAGGCCUCUUGUACUGUG